rnacentral:rRNA from 1 species
UUGAACGCUGGCGGCAUGCUUUACACAUGCAAGUCGAACGGUAACAGGGAGCUUGCUCCGCUGACGAGUGGCGAACGGGUGAGUAAUGCAUCGGAACGUACCCAGUCGUGGGGGAUAACGUAGCGAAAGUUACGCUAAUACCGCAUACGUCCUGAGGGAGAAAGCGGGGGACCGUAAGGCCUCGCGCGAUUGGAGCGGCCGAUGUCGGAUUAGCUAGUUGGUGGGGUAAAGGCCUACCAAGGCGACGAUCCGUAGCGGGUCUGAGAGGAUGAUCCGCCACACUGGGACUGAGACACGGCCCAGACUCCUACGGGAGGCAGCAGUGGGGAAUUUUGGACAAUGGGGGCAACCCUGAUCCAGCCAUGCCGCGUGAGUGAAGAAGGCCUUCGGGUUGUAAAGCUCUUUCGGACGGAAAGAAACGGUCACGGCCAAUACCCGUGGCUAAUGACGGUACCGUCAGAAGAAGCACCGGCUAACUACGU